rnacentral:rRNA from 1 species
GGGUCAGUAGGUUGGUCGUGCCACCGGUACGUACUGGUCUCACUGAUUCCUCCUUCCUGAAGAACCGUAAUGCCAUUAAUUUGGUGUUGCGGGGUAACAGGACUGUUACUUUGAAAAAAUUAGAGUGUUUAAAGCAAGCUAACGCUUGAAUACAUUAGCAUGGAAUAGUGAAAUAGGACGAUCGAUCCUAUUUUGUUGGUUUCUAGGAUUGACGUA